GCUUCCGUAGCUCAGUUGGUAGAGCAGCGCAUUCGUAAUGCGCAGGUCGUCGGUUCGAGUCCGACCGGAAGCUCCA
rnacentral:tRNA from 1 species